rnacentral:rRNA from 1 species
UACGUAGGGUGCGAGCGUUUGUCCGGAAUUAUUGGGCGUAAAGGGCUCGUAGGCGGUCUGUCACGUCGAAAGUGAAAACUCAGGGCUCAACCCUGAGCCUGCUUCCGAUACGGGCAGACUAGAGGUAUGCAGGGGGAGAAUGGAAUUCCUGGUGUAGCGGUGAAAUGCGCAGAUAUCAGGAGGAACACCAGUGGCGAAGGCGGUUCUCUGGGCAUUACCUGACGCUGAGGAGCGAAAAGUGUGGGGGAGCGAACAGG